UUUCCCUCCUCUCUCUCUUUCUUCUGUAAAGCUUCUCUCUCGCGACGAUUUCUUGGACGACUUCCUGACCCUACCGUUUUCUUCGAGCAUGCACGUGAAAUUGCCGAAGCUGCGUACGUUGUGAACCCUUUAGACGCCGAGGUUUAAAUAAUGAUAAUCCUUCAAGUGUGGUGGGUCAGAGUGAAGAAGGAAGUCAGAGUACUCCAGAGGACUUGGAACCUAUUUCAUUGAAUCUGUUUUUAAGCAAAGGGGAAAGCAGUAAAGGUUGUUCUAUAGGUAUAAUGCAUGGGAUGAGAUGCUCUGUUUUGGUAACUCUUGUACAUGGGGUGUAGGUUGGAAAAUUUGAAAAAUUGAGAAAAUGGGAUGAACUCAUAAUUGUUUUAAUUUAAGCUGAGUUUUAUUUAGAAUGGGGUGUACUCAGCAAAAACUGAGGUGCAACUAAGGUUCAUCUUUUUCUUUAUUGGUGAAAGCUCGAUUUCAACUGACAAUGUUUCUCUAUUGCCAAAAAUUGUUUCUCUCUUUCUUGCA